rnacentral:lncRNA from 1 species
GCCAAGAUAGAGAUCCAUUUUUUCUCACGCUCUUCAACAUUUUACUUAUACAAUAGCUUUUAAAAGUUAUCUAUUUUCUUAUGUGACACUCUGACCCACUGAUCCGACCAUUUUCUGGUCAUUUCACCACCAAACUCUUGUUUUACUCAUUUUCACCUAUAGUUCCAUCCCAAAAAGCCAAGCCUCAAUGGAUUCAUCUUUCUUUCGGACCGUUUAGCCGUGCCCC